rnacentral:lncRNA from 1 species
AUGGCGAUGUCUCCACAGCCAAAUAAGAAAAGAGGUUGACAUGUCUUCCAUAGAGGAUGAGGAAUUGAUGGCGAUGUCUCCACAGCCAAAUAAGAAACGUAGAUUAUAGGUGGAUGUGGUUGAAUGGGGGCAUAGUACUAGGCAGGAAGUUGAGAAUGCCAAUUUGAAUGAGGUCUCAGUCCAGCUGUUCUCCGAGCUCACUGGGAGUCCAAGUUCAAGGAGUCCCUGUGAUGGUUUGAGUGGGGAAGUUGAAUCCACUUUGUAGGGUGGGAGGUCUAGUCUAGAGUCUGGGUCACAUGAUGUAUCCUCUCCACCGCAACCAGCCGCUUCAAGUAAACGAAAGAGGUUCUAUGUGGGGGGGAGCUCGUCCACGACACGGUCCCAAGAUAGGGGUGGUGCAUAACAAUAAGGGGUUUUAA